GCUGUGGGGAUCUUGCACUGUUGUUCCUGCAUGGAAACAGUAGCUGGUGGUGCCUGGGCCUACAAUACCACCUCGGCAGUCACAGUAAAGUCUGCC
rnacentral:miRNA from 1 species